CUGAGCUCACCCAACAAUGGGCUCAGUAUCGAUUGAUACGUCUAUGCUCAGUUCCUCGUACUGAGUGCAUAGAACCUCUUCUACACGUCGACAAGAAUUAUUCUUGUGUUUGCCAGCCAUCCUGUCGAUCGCUGGCUUUUUUUCGU
rnacentral:ncRNA from 1 species